UUGGAGGGCAAGUCUGGUGCCAGCAGCCGCGGUAAUUCCAGCUCCAAUAGCGUAUAUUAAAGUUGUUGCAGUUAAAAAGCUCGUAGUUGAAUUUCGGGGUUAGUAGGUUGGUCAUGCCACUGGUAUGUACUGGUCUCACUGGUUCCUCCUUCCUGAUGAGACGUAAUGCCAUUAAUUUGGUGUUGCGAGGAAUCUGGACUGUUACUUUGAAAAAAUUAGAGUGUUUAAAGCAGGCUAACGCUUGAAUACAUUAGCUUGGAAUAAUGAAAUAGGACGUUCGAUCUUAUUUUGUUGGUUUCUAGGAUUGACGUAAUGAUUAAUAGGGAUAGUUGGGGGCAUUAGUAUUCAAUUGUCAGAGGUGAAAUUCUUGGAUUUAUUGAAGACUAACUACUGCGAAAGCAUUUGCCAAGGAUGUUUUCAUUAAUCAAGAACGAAAGUUAGGGGAUCGAAGACGAUCAGAUACCGUCGUAGUCUUAACCAUAAACUAUGCCGACUAGGGAUCGGAUGAUGUUAAUUUUUUAAUGACUCAUUCGGCGCCUUACGGGAAACCAAAGUGUUUGGGUUC
rnacentral:rRNA from 1 species